rnacentral:rRNA from 1 species
AGUGAACGCUGGCGGUAGGCCUAACACAUGCAAGUCGAACGGCAGCACAGUAAGAGCUUGCUCUUACGGGUGGCGAGUGGCGGACGGGUGAGGAAUACAUCGGAACCUACUUUUUCGUGGGGGAUAACGUAGGGAAACUUACGCUAAUACCGCAUACGACCUACGGGUGAAAGCAGGGGAUCUUCGGACCUUGUGCGAUUGAAUGAGCCGAUGUCGGAUUAGCUAGUUGGCGGGGUAAAGGCCCACCAAGGCGACGAUCCGUAGCUGGUCUGAGAGGAUGAUCAGCACACUGGAACUGAGACACGGUCCAGACUCCUACGGGAGGCAGCAGUGGGGAAUAUUGGACAAUGGGCGCAAGCCUGAUCCAGCCAUACCGCGUGGGUGAAGAAGGCCUUCGGGUUGUAAAGCCCUUUUGUUGGGAAAGAAAAGCAGCAGGUUAAUACCCCGCUGUUCUGACGGUACCCAAAGAAUAAGCACCGGCUAACUUCGUG